GAGUCUUUCAUUCUCUACUCGCUUUUUUUUUCAUAUUAUCCAGCUCUUGUAAUCUGUUCCACUCUUGUUCUCCUGCUCUAAUUCCUGUAAGUGUAUUCUGCAGACAUAAUAAUACAUUUGCAAUUGCCAAAAUUGUUGUUCCAUAAUCUGCUUUGCGCUCAAAUUUCGUGCUUACUCUUGAAAUUUUUUCACAAUGUUUAAAUCUAAAUCUUCCGUGGGCUCUAGAUCUACUUUUUCUGUCGAAGAUAAUAUUUCUGUUAAUUCUGAUAAAUGGAAAAUCCCUAAGCUCUCCACUAAGGAUAUUUAUACUACUUCUUGGUUAAAAAGUGUUUUUAACGCUGAACAUGCUAUUAAAACUGUUGAACGAACUUUUGCUAUAUUUAGUAAUAAUGAAAAAUAUGAAUUAAUUGAUAAAAAGAUUAUUAAUGAUGCUUUGGUUAAAGGCUAUAAGUUUUUGCAUAUUGGAGCUAUUCAAGUUGCUGUUAAACCACUAGCUAGGCUAGGUACUAAUGCUUCCGUUUCGCUUUGUCUACGCGAUGCUAGAUUUAUUGAUUUCAAGACUAGUAUUAUUGGUAUGAUACAAUCUUCUUUGUUUAAUCGACGAAUCCAUCUUAAUAUUUUCCCCAACUUUUCUCUUUCUUUGACUAAUGUUCAUAUUACUAAAGCAUUGACUUUAAAUGUUUUGACUUUUGGUUAUGAUAUGGUAGAAGGUAGUGGACCUGUUGCUAUCAGCUACCGGGUUUAUUACAAAUUGCUAAAAGACGAUCUAAAUCCUCAAGCUGUUAUCAAAAAUUCUGGGGACUAUGCUAUGUUAAUUGAAAGUUCUACACAAGAUGCUAACAUAUAUAUUCCUAAAAUGAUGGGAGGUAAUGAAAUUGACCUCCCUAAUGAGUGGCUUUUAGAAAAUGUUUCCGAGCCUACUACAGUAGUAAAUGAAACAACUAAUCAUGACUGCGAUAUCCAACAAAAUUUAGAUGGAACUGUUAAAAUUAGGUUUUUCUAAUUUAAAUUCUUUCUAAUUGAAGAGAAAGAUCAUUAAAUAUUAAUUAAGGAUGUAAAUUCGGACCGAUUAUAACUUGAUCGGUGUUCGGAGCGUAACCAGUUCCGGGUCUAUUAAAAAAAAAUUACCUCCAACCCUUUUAUCUUACUUGGGCUAUCAUGGGGACCUUUCCGUUUUUUUACACUUUUGCCCUAAAAUCCUGAUUUCUCUACAAUGCAUUUCGUUCUUUUAUUUUCACUUUUGCCUUUUGCGCCGCUGCCUUCUUCAAAUCUUCUUGUCUUCUCGCCAUUCUUGAAUCUUCACGCCAUUUUUCACGCUUGCCUUCUUCUCCUUGAAUCUUCAUUCUUUUCCUCUGUUUUUUUGUUUGCUUUUGCUUUUGCUUUCCUUCACAACACACACGGACCGAGAUCGAGAGAGACCUGAGAAAGUUGCUGCUGCUACCGUUACUGUCAAAGAAGUGAAGAACUCAAGAGAGAGCAAGAGUUCUGGAUUAAGAUUUGGUGAUUUCUAAAGCAGAUGGAGCAAAGGAAGUAGACUGUUAGUUAUAGAUGAUUGAGAGCAGACUUGCUGAAAGCUAGAAAUCGGACCAUGCUUGGAUAUGUUUUUGAACUUUUGGUUAUUAAUUUUUUUAAUGUGUAUGGAUUUUUGGGUUUUUAAUAUUUAAUUAUGUAUGGAUGUGGAAUUUCCUUGAGGGCAUGAUAGUUCAUACACGUGAUUAAUAAUUUUGAUUCAUACAA